rnacentral:misc_RNA from 1 species
UUUCCGUAGGUGAACCUGCGGAAGGAUCAUUACUAGAGCAAAGGAUAGACAGCACCCCACAGAAGCUUGCUUCGUGGGGGCUACCCUACUUCGGUAGGGUUUAGAGUCGUCGGGCCUCUCGGAGAAGCUCGGUCCUGAACUCCACCCUUGAAUAAAUUACCUUUGUUGCUUUGGCGGGCCGCCUCGUGCCAGCGGCUUCGGCUGUUGAGUGCCCGCCAGAGGACCACAACUCUUGUUUUUAGUGAUGUCUGAGUACUAUAUAAUAGUUAAAACUUUCAACAACGGAUCUCUUGGUUCUG